GAUGAACGCUGGCGGCGUGCCUAAUACAUGCAAGUCGAGCGAAUGGAUUAAGAGCUUGCUCUUAUGAAGUUAGCGGCGGACAGGUGAGUAACACGUGGGUAACCUGCCCAUAAGACUGGGGUAACUCCGGGAAACCGGGGCUAAUACCGGAUAACAUUUUGAACCGCAUGGUUCGAAAUUGAAAGGCGGCUUCGGCUGUCACUUAUGGAUGGACCCGCGUCGCAUUAGCUAGUUGGUGAGGUAACGGCUCACCAAGGCAACGAUGCGUAGCCGACCUGAGAGGGUGAUCGGCCACACUGGGACUGAGACACGGCACAGACUCCUACGGGAGGCAGCAGUAGGGAAUCUUCCGCAAUGGACGAAAGUCCGACGGAGCAACGCCGCGUGAGUGAUGAAGGCUUUCGGGUCGUAAAACUCUGUUGUUAGGGAAGAACAAGUGCUAGUUGAAUAAGCUGGCACCUUGACGGUACCUAACCAGAAAGCCACGGCUAACUACGUGCCAGCAGCCGCAGUAA
rnacentral:rRNA from 1 species